UUGGCGGGUGAAAGGAGCAAUUGUUCCGCCUGGAGAUGAGUCUGCGGUCCAUUAGUUUGUUGGUGGGGUAAUGGCCUACCAAGGCGAUGAUGGAUAGCCGGCCUGAGAGGGUGUACGGUCACACUGGGACUGAGACACGGCCCAGACUUCUACGGGAGGCAGCAGCUAAGAAUCUUCCGCAAUGGGCGAAAGCCUGACGGAGCGACGCCGCGUGAACGAUGAAGGCCGAGAGGUUGUAAAGUUCUUUUCUUGGUGAAGAAUAAAUGUAUGAGUGGAAAGCGUACAAGAUGACGUUAGCCGAGGAAUAAGCCCCGGCCAAUUACGUGCCAGCAGCCGCGGUAACACGUAAGGGGCGAGCGUUGUUCGGAAUUAUUGGGCGUAAAGGGCGUGUAGGUGGUUUUAUAAGCCUGGUGUUAAAAUCUCUGGCUCAACCAGAGUCGUGCGCUGGGAACUGUGAGACUAGAGUUCAGGAGGGGAAGCUGGAAUUCCUGGUGUAGGGGUGAAAUCUGUAGAUAUCAGGAAGAACACCGGUGGCGAAGGCGAGCUUCUAGCCAUGGACUGACGCUGAGGCGCGAAAGCGUGGGGAGCGAACAGGAUUAGAUACCCUGGUAGUCCACGCUGUAAACGAUGUGCACUGGGCGUAGGAUUCUUAUAGGAUUCUGUGCCGUAGCUAACGCGUUAAGUGCACCGCCUGGGGAGUAUGCUCGCAAGGGUGAAACUCAAAGGACUUGACGGGGGCCCGCACAAGCGGUGGAGCUUGUGGUUUAAUUCGAUGAUACGCGAUGAACCUUACCAGGGUUUGACCUGUUCCUGGAUGUCCGCGAGAUGUGGCAGUCUCGUUUAGAGGCGGGUACACAGUGCUGCAUGCGUCGUCAGCUCGGUGUUCGUGAGAUUGUUGGGUUAAGUCCCGCAACGAGCGCAACCCUGCUGUCUGUUGCUACAGGUAAUGUGAGACUCGGCGGAACUGCCGGUGACAAACCGGAGGAAGGUGGGGACGACGUCAAGUCAUCAUGGCCUUUAUGUCCUGGGCUACACACGUGCUACAAUGGUCGGUACAGAGUGUUGCGAGACGGGUGACGUUGAGCUAAUCACAAAAAGCCGGCCUUAAGUUCGGAUUGGAGUCUGAACUGACUCCAUGAAGUUGGAAUCGCUAGUAAUCGCGCAUCAGCAUGGCGCGGUGAAUAUGUUCCCGGGCCUUGUACACACC
rnacentral:rRNA from 1 species